rnacentral:rRNA from 1 species
CCUACGGGGGGCAGCAGUCGAGAAUCAUUCACAAUGGGGGAAACCCUGAUGGUGCGACGCCGCGUGGGGGAAUGAAGGUCUUCGGAUUGUAAACCCCUGUCAUGUGGGAGCAAAUUAAAAAGAUAGUACCACAAGAGGAAGAGACGGCUAACUCUGUGCCAGCAGCCGCGGUAAUCCAGAGGUCUCAAGCGUUGUGCGGAAUCACUGGGCGUAAAGCGUACUUAGGCUGUUUCGUAAGUCGUGUGUGAAAGGCGCGGGCUCAACCCGCGGACGGCACAUGAUACUGCGAGACUAGAGUAAUGGAGGGGGAAGCGGAAUUCUCGGUGUAGCAGUGAAAUGCGUAGAUAUCGAGAGGAACACUCGUGGCGAAGGCGGGUGCCUGGACAUUAACUGACGCUGAGGCACGAAGGCCAGGGGAGCGAAAGGGAUUAGAUACCCCAGUAGUC